AGUGAACGCUGGCGGUAGGCCUAACACAUGCAAGUCGAACGGCAGCACAGUAAGAGCUUGCUCUUACGGGUGGCGAGUGGCGGACGGGUGAGGAAUACAUCGGAAUCUACUUUUUCGUGGGGGAUAACGUAGGGACACUUACGCUAAUACCGCAUACGACCUACGGGUGAAAGCAUGGGAUCUUCGGACCUUGCGCGAUUGAAUGAGCCGAUGUCGGAUUAGCUAGUUGUCGGGGUAAAGGCCCACCAAGCCGACGAUCCGGAGCUGGUCUGAGAGGAUGAACAGCCACACUGGAACGGAGACACGAUCCAGACUCCUACGGGAGGCAGCAGUGGGGAAUAUUGGACAAUGGGCGCAAGCCUGAUCCAGCCAUACCGCGUGGGUGAAGAAGGCCUUCGGGUUGUAAAGCCCUUUUGUUGGGAAAGAAAAGCAGCAGGUUAAUACCCCGCUGUUCUGACGGUACCCAAAGAAUAAGCACCGGCUAACUUCGUG
rnacentral:rRNA from 1 species